GCGGGGCCCAACGCAAGGGGGCGGGGCCGGGACCGGAACAGACUUCGAUCCCUGCUAGGGAGAAAAACCGUUUUUUGUCCACGCUGGGUUUGGAAGGGAGCUCAGGGAGAGGCCUGAGAGCAAACCUGAGGCCGUUCUUUCUUUCAUUCGUUCAGCUUGGAAAUCCGAAGUCAAAACUGAAUGGAACUGCCGUUCUAACCAGUUCACUUACCUGAGCCGCAAUUUUCUCUUUAGUAAAAUGGGCCAAAUGAUACCACAUGGAUUAUACGUAAAGUUGCAAUAUGUCAAGUACCUAGCACACCCCAGAUCUUCCACCCUGCUCCCCUCCAGAUGAGAACACAAAGGCUCAGAGAGAUAAAGUCACUUGUCUGUGACCACACAGGCAGGAAGUUGCAGCGGUGGAGACAAUCCUGAGAAUGAUUUCUGAUUGACACGCUCCAUGGCAACUCUAUCAGGUUUUUGUGGAACCAGAUCAAUAUACAGAAUAUUACCUAUGCCCCAGAAGGAGGCAUGACCCCCUCAUGACCCCUGCCAGCUAAUUCCUGAUGUUCCAGAGAAACCAGUAUUCUUGCCUCUAUUACCUUAUGUUUGU